CACGUAGGGGACGAGCGUUGUCCGGAUUCAUUGGGCGUAAAGAGCUCGUAGGCGGUUUGUCGCGUCCGCUGUGAAAACUCGGGGCUUAACCCCGAGCCUGCAGUGGAUACGGGCAGACUAGAGGUAGGUAGGGGAGAAUGGAAUUCCCGGUGUAGCGGUGAAAUGCGCAGAUAUCGGGAGGAACACCGGUGGCGAAGGCGGUUCUCUGGGCCUUACCUGACGCUGAGGAGCGAAAGCGUGGGGAGCGAACAGG
rnacentral:rRNA from 1 species